ACCCCAAUAGCGCAAUGGAUAGCGCAUUUGACUUCUAAUCCGAAAGUCGUGGUUUCGAAUCCCGCUUGGGAUG